UUGAUUUUUUGUUAUUUUCAGGUGCAGUCUUGGGAAGAGGGCCAGAAGGACCAGCUGGUGUUGCUGCAGGUGACUGAAGAGAAUUUGCAGGUAAGUUUACGUGAUUAUUGAGAGAUUUUUCUGACGAUAUGUGUUUUUUUCCAGGUGCAGGCGCUAGUGAAAGACGAGAUGGACCAGAUGAUUGGCCAGAUGCUGGACGAGGAUUCGCAGACGAUGCUGCUGCUGG
rnacentral:sRNA from 1 species